UUGGAGGGCAAGUCUGGUGCCAGCAGCCGCGGUAAUUCCAGCUCCAAUAGCGUAUAUUAAAGUUGUUGCAGUUAAAAAGCUCGUAGUUGAAUUUCGGGGUUAGUAGGUUGGUCAUGCCUCUGGUAUGUACUGGUCUCACUGAUUCCUCCUUCCUUAUGAACCGUAAUGCCAUUAAUUUGGUGUUGCGGGGUAAUUUGGACUGUUACUUUGAAAAAUUGAGUGUUUAAAGCAAGCUAACGCUUAGAAUACAUUAGCAUGGAAUAUGAAAUGGACG
rnacentral:rRNA from 1 species